UCGACGGGAUUGAGAGCUUGCUCUCAUGAGAGUGGCGCACGGGUGAGUAACGCGUAUGCAACCUACCUUUAACUGAGGGAUAGCCCAUAGAAAUGUGGAUUAAUACCUCAUAGUUCUUUUGAACCGCAUGGUUUGAAAGAUAAAGCUCCGGCGGUUAAAGAUGGGCAUGCGUGACAUUAGCUAGUUGGUAAGGUAACGGCUUACCAAGGCUACGAUGUCUAGGGGUUCUGAGAGGAUGAUCCCCCACACUGGUACUGAGACACGGACCAGACUCCUACGGGAGGCAGCAGUGAGGAAUAUUGGUCAAUGGGCACAAGCCUGAACCAGCCAUCCCGCGUGCAGGAUGACGGCCCUAUGGGUUGUAAACUGCUUUUAUACACCAAGAAAAAACAGGACGUGUCCUGGACUGACGGUAGUGUAUGAAUAAGCAUCGGCUAACUCCGUGCCAGCAGCCGCGGUAAUACGGAGGAUGCAAGCGUUAUCCGGAUUCAUUGGGUUUAAAGGGUGCGUAGGCGGCUUUUUAAGUCAGUGGUGAAAUCCUGCCGCUUAACGGUAGAAUUGCCAUUGAUACUGAAGAGCUUGAGUACAGUUGAGGUAAGCGGAAUGUGUAGUGUAGCGGUGAAAUGCUUAGAUAUUACACAGAACACCAAUUGCGAAGGCAGCUUACUAAACUGAUACUGACGCUGAUGCACGAAAGCGUGGGGAGCGAACAGGAUUAGAUACCCUGGUAGUCCACGCCGUAAACGAUGUUCACUCGCUGUUUGCGAUACACAGCAAGCGGCCAAGCGAAAGCAUUAAGUGAACCACCUGGGGAGUACGAUCGCAAGGUUGAAACUCAAAGGAAUUGACGGGGGCCCG
rnacentral:rRNA from 1 species